GUUAAGCGUUGUGCGCCGCGGCCGGGCGCGGUGAUUCACGCCUGUAAUCCCAGCACUUUGGGGGGCCGAGGCGGGCGGAUCACGACGUCAGGAGAUCGAGACCAUUCUGGCUAACACGUAUCGAUAGAUGCUGGAGGCAGAUAAGGGAGGGUCCCUGGAGAAUCUCUGACCUGCCUCACAAGCUUUUGUGCAGCUGAGGAAGCCUGCCCAGGGUCUUGUCUGGGCAUGCCCACAAGGGACUUGGGGGCCCACUGCACCAGGAGAGUGGGGUGCAGCCAGAGGGAAUUCAGCCUUAUGCAGCAGGGAUGAGCAAGAAGUCUUCAGCUUGUGUGUGUUGGCCUGUUAUUCAGUCUGUGAGCUGGGAGCCUGUUGGCAGGACCCUCCUUGUUUUUUUGCUAAGAGCUUUUAAUAAAUGCCACUCUUCACCUUGCAAUGUAUUCACAUGCCUAAUUGUUCCUGGUCAUGAGACAAGAACCUGGAUUUUAGCUGAGCUAAGGAGCAAAAAUUCCUGCAUCAGUAUGAGGUAAGAAUAAAGGUUCUUUUUUUUCCUUAUGGAUUUCCAGUCGUUCCAGCUUGCCUAUCCCCAUGGAAUUGCCUUGGCAUCCCUGUCAAAACUCAGCUGGCCGUAUAUUAUAACCUCAGAGCCAGCCCAAACUGGCCCUACUCUGUUGAUAACAAAAUGGCCAGUUACCCUGUAGGUAUAACAGAGCCAAAACUGCAAGUUAUGUAGACUGGGCAUGUGCCAUGGAAAAAGCUUUGACCUCUAACAAUGAAACGGGAAAGGUUCCCUUGUCCCCUUCGUAGGGCAUGCGGCAGUGGGAGUGGGUCGCUUCUUCAGUGCCCCACUGCUCACACCUCUAGGGGAGCAUACAGACAGGCAGGUUUUGGGGCUCCAACCCCACGCCAGUGUCUAGGGGUGGAUGUUUACUGCUCCUGAAGCACCAGUGGGCUGUGCUACUGUGUGCUUUUUUAGUUUUGCUGUCUAUAGGCACUUGUGUUAACCAGCUCAAUUAGACCCUCUACCUUGUCACAAGGACAGAAGACUUUCUGUAUCCCAGGUUCUUGCCUUGGUGUACCAGAAGAAUUGUAUCACAUGUGGGCUUAGAGAAUGAGUGCACGGUUUUAUUGAGUGGAAGUAGCUCUCAGCAGAUGGGGGAGCCAGAAGGGAGUUGGUUUUCCCCUGGAGUUGAGCCGCUCAGCGGCCCAGGCUGUCCUCCGACUGCCCUGGCCAAACUCCGCAUUGUUCUGCUGGUCGAUGGCCUGCCAGUGCUAGUGCCUUUAGAAUGGUACUUGCCACACAGUACCUACUAUAAGUAAUUAUUCAAUGAAUUAAUGAAUCCCUUAA
rnacentral:lncRNA from 1 species